rnacentral:sRNA from 1 species
CUUUGAGAAACAUCAGCUAAAAAUGCCACGUCCUGUGGCAUUACCGAAAUGACCAACAUCGUGUCGG